GCAUCGGUGGUUCAGUGGUAGAAUGCUCGCCGGCAACGCGGGCGGCCCGGGUUCGAUUCCCGGCCGAUGCA